UACGGGGGGGGGCAAGCGUUGUUCGGAGUUACUGGGCGUAAAGGGCUCGUAGGCGGCCAACUAAGUCAGACGUGAAAUCCCUCGGCUUAACCGGGGAACUGCGUCUGAUACUGGAUGGCUUGAGGUUGGGAGAGGGAUGCGGAAUUCCAGGUGUAGCGGUGAAAUGCGUAGAUAUCUGGAGGAACACCGGUGGCGAAGGCGGCAUCCUGGACCGGCACUGACGCUGAGGAGCGAAAGCCAGGGGAGCAAACGGG
rnacentral:rRNA from 1 species